rnacentral:lncRNA from 1 species
AGAGGCUGCAAAUUUUGUCGCUGAGUAGAAGCAAGGGAACGGACGGAGGGUGCUCCCAGUUUCUCCUGAGCCUAUAUGCGUGUAUUAACUGAAGGCCGUGGAAGGCAAAACUCGUGGGGAGCUCUCUGAGAUUUUGGACUGUAAGGUGUAACCCAGCGUUGUACAGGGUUUCCUAGUAAGAAUGCAUGACGGGGACAGCCGACACUGUAUUGGUGCUGUUGUAUGAAAGGCAGGCUGUGCCCUGCUGCGUCUUUUGAAACUGUUUUGAUGUUAAUUUCUUGUGCGUGUGCGGUGCUGCCGUGUUGUGGGGAUCUCGAUUUUGGGUGUGUAAACGAAGCGCCUGUGCGGUGCCACCGUAGCUACUGCCGUUCUUAUGUGGCAAAUCCGCCAGCUCAGGACUCAGGAGCGAGAUGCACCUCCGCCAUCUUUCUGCGAAAAUUCAAAUUCCUAGACUUACAGCCAUUCAGGAGCGAGAUGCACCUCCGCCAUCUUUCUGCGAAAAUUCAAAUUCCUAGACUUACAGCCAUUUUACUGAUUUUUUUUACGUAGUACAGACGCAAACGCUCAUAUAUAUACGCAUACAUUCAUUUUUAUAAACACACCAUGCACACCAUAGCUGGCACAUUAUUUUGGGAUUAUCGAAGUCGCUACACACGUCUUUGCAUCGAUAGUAAUGUCUCCUCUCAAUGAACGCACAUACUCGAAAGGUCUAAAAUAAAUUCAGAAAAAUACGACACUAACAAAGUCUAUGACUUGAACUCUGGGUGGGAUAGGGAUAUCAUUGUCUUUUUAAUCAUCCAAUCUUUUGUUAAAUAUUCGCGCUGGGCUGCAUCUAUUGCAUCCAACGCGUAACCCCUAAUACCGCGAGUCAUCAUCCAACCCUUCCCCAUUUCCCCUCUCUACCACAUCAUCGUCGAUUCAUUCCCCUCCCCCUCUUCAAAUCCCAAAUAGAGCGAGAGAGAACAAUGAGAAGCACGGAUCCCCUCCCCUCUGUCCUUCCGCGCCUUGCACUCUCCUCCUAAUCCGAGCGACCUCGCACGCGAAGGUGGGCUAAUGGAGGGGGCACCGAGGGUGAUUCCGUUACAGAGCGGCGAAGCAACGACACCGUCCUCCAACCUCCGUGACUUCCUUAAGCUCCGUGACGACGACGACGUGCGACUUGUCAUGGCGGGUAGGCACCACACGCUCCUCGACAUUAUCCACAGGUGCCGAUGAUGACAACGCUUACCUAGCUCCCCCUUCCUCCACGCGCCGCGGGGCGUCCGCGAUCCCGACGCCACAGGUGCCCGUGGCGAGAUAGGGAAGGAGCGGAGGGUGUCAUUGAUGUCACUGUUGGAGCAGGGGAAGCGGCGUUGGACGACGGUGGCGGCGAGCGCCGUGACAUGGACGCAUGUAGAGAAGGACGCGACUGCCACGAAGGAGGAAGGGGAAGGAAAGGCCGCGGGGGCGUGGGCGGGCGGUGUCGUGUGUGCAUGGGGCGACGCAAGGGCGCGCCUUUGUCCCCUGCAGUCACAUCUUUCUGCCGCUCCUGAUUCAAGUACUAGUUUUGUUCUCACCGCCAUGAUCUAGAUCUCUACAUUUUCUUAAUUUUGCCAUGGCAAUUUAGUUCUUUUGCCAAUGCCAUGGCAAUUUAACUCUUUCUCCAAAUUAGUCCGACCACAAAAAACAACCAACGGUAAAUUAUGAUGUGUGCCAAUGGCAAUUUAUGUUGCUGUCUCCAUGUUGAUUUAAGAUGUGUUUGCCAAGGCAUCUUCAUUUUUUGUCGCCAAGGCAACUAUUUUUCUACCCAUGAAAAUUAGUAGCUAUUUCCUUGUUUUUGUCACAUGAUGUUUUAAGGUCUCCUAUUUUUUCCCAUGUACUCAAUAUAAAUUCUCCAAAUUAGUCUGGCCCCAAAUCAACCAACGUCAAAUUAGGUUAUGUGCCCAUGGCAAAUUAUGUUUGUUUGUCUCCAUGUUUGAAUUAAGAUGUAUUUGCCAUGACAUCUUCAUUUUUUGUCGCCAUGGCAACUAACUUUUUGACCCAUGACAGUUAGUAGAUAUUUCCUUGUUUUUGUCACAUGAUGGCUUAAGAUCUCCUAAUUUUGCCAUCUUUCUUGAAAGAUAAAUCUUCUUAAAUUUUGCCGCGUGCCAAAUUUUGCCAUCUCUUUCAAAGAAUAAAUCUCCUAAUUUUUCCAUUUGCCCAUGAGAAUUUGGUAAAUUUGCCAUCUUUUGAUAAAAAAAAUAAAUUUCCUAAACCCCCAUGUGCCUUCCAAAACUUGCCAUGCUUUUUUAGAGAACGAAUUUCUUUUUGGACAAUGACAAAUUUACUUUGCGGGAACAUAGCAAAUUUGCUCUUAUGUACCAUGGCAAAUUUACUUUGUGUAUCAUGGCAAACUUUUUUGUGACCAUGGAGAAUUUACUAUAUGUAUCAUGGCAAAAUUUCUUGUUUUUAUCAUGUCAAACUUUUUUUUUUACCAUGGAAAUUUUAUUUUACCAUGGCUUUUUUACUCGUUAGACCAUGUUGACCAAUUUUUGGAACAUGGCAAACUUGUUUCCACAAACCAUGGCAAAUUUACUUUUAUGUAUCAAGGCAAAUUGUUUUUCAUCAUGGCAAAUUUAUAUUUUUCUGGAUCACAGAAAAUUCAUUUUUUUACCAUGGCAAAUUUAUCUUUUCAACCAUAGCAAAUUUAUUUUUGGUGUGAUGGCAAAUUUAUAUUUGGACCAUGGCAAAAAAUAUCUUCUGAACACAUUUUUUACCAUGCCACAUUUACAUUUGGACGAUGGCAAUUUUUUUUACAAUGCCAAAUUUAUUUUUGCACCAUGAAUUUUUUUACUUGUUGGACCUUGGUCAAUAUUUUUUGCAACAUGGUCAAUUCUUUUUGGAACAUGACAAGUUUGUUUUACAAACCCAAAUUUCCUUUUUGUACACAUUUCGUUGAACGAACAACGGUAAUUUGCCAUAAUUUUACACCAUUGCAAAUUUAUAUUUUUGAACAUCCCAUGGGAUAAUAUGUUUCCUAAGACUAUUAUAAUAAUUUUUCUUUUUCAGUAUAUACUUUUCCCAUCAUCUAAUGAAACAACGUAUUCUAAAAAAUCUGACGAAACAACAACAGCCUAGGUUCAAACAAAAUUGUUAAGUUUUCUUUGUUUUUGUUUCCAAGAUAUGGAAGAUUUAGUUCUCACGUACUGCAAAUGUAAUUUUUCAUGUACAAUAUGUGUUUGACAUGGUUUUUUUUAUUGUCAUUGGGUUUUAAGACUAUUUUUUGUUGGACAAUCAAUGUCACUUUUUGUGAGGACUCUUGUCAAAUCGCUGAUGGGCCAUGGUUUGAUCUGGUCGGGUUCUUGAGCAAACGUUUCUCUCUCACCCUAUGUCUCGCUAAAUGCGAGACAGUAGGAUAUCUCGGUUGAGGCAGCCGCCCAGCUCUGCCCAACUAGGCCGGUCAAGCGUGGACACGGGCUUUCAUCAUUUUUUUGACCUUUUUUCACAUUUUUUGCUUUUGCUAGUUGAAAUAUUAUGAAUAUGCCUAUUAUAAAAUUAACUUUACACAAAAGUUUAAAACUAUUAAUCAUGCAUUUAAGAAAUGUUAAAUGUGUAAAAAAAUUAUUUUCGGCGCAUACGAAAAUAUACAAAGUGUAUGGAAAAGUAUAAAAAAUACAAAGUUUUCAGUAUUUUAAAAAAAUGUUAGUUAUGCAUUUAAAAAUAUUAAAUGUGUAUAGAAAAAAGUUUGUGAUGUAUGUGAUUUUUUUAUGAAAAAUGUGUCAAAAGAUGUACAAUGUGUUUGGAAAAAAGUAGACAUAAAAAAUAUGAGCUAAAAAAUGUUAAUCAUGUAUUUGGUCAAUGUUAAACGUGUACAUAUUUGUUCUGAUGUAGGAGUAUAUUAAAAAUAUACAAUGUGUAUAAAACAUUAGACAUAAAUAAUAUAUGCUUCAAAGUUUUUAAUCAUGUAUCCGGAAAAUGUUUAACGUCUAUAUAUUAAAUGUUCUGAUAUACACAAAAAAUGUCCAAUGUUUAUGAAAAAAGUCGAAAAAAUGAUUUACAAAAUUUUAAUCAUGUAUUUCCGAAAUGUUAUAGGUCUAUAAAAUAUGUUGCUUGUGUAUACAGAAAAUGUACAGUGCGUAUUGAAAAAGUAGACAUAAAAAGUGUAAGUUGUCAAAAAUGUUAAUUAUGUAUAUAAAAAUCUUAAAUGUGUAUUGAAAAAAUAUUACUAUUGUAUAAAAAACUGUAGAAAUAAAUGAAAAAACCCGAUAAAGAAGCACAAAGAAACAAAAGAAAACAAAGAAAUAGUAUAAAAAGCAUAAAAAGAAAAGAAUAAAUAAAUAAAUAAAUAUGAAAGGAAAGAAAAAUCGGUGGAAACUGUGAAAGAAAUGACGGAAAACGAUGAAAACAGAAAUCGGAUGACGAAAUAAAAGAAGACCGAUAAAAAACGAAAAAGAAAAAAGUAGAAGAAAAACACCGGACGAAAGCAGCGCGUAGAACGAGCGAGCGAGCGACGGCACGAAAAGCCAGCCCAUAUGCGUGAACCCGUCAGGCGAGACGGAAGCAAGUCUCGCCUUUAGCAAUAUAUACUUCUAUCGCGAAGGACCCCCCAUUUCGUGACCAACGCGCCAAGUAUGAACCAAAUGUACACCCGUCACCCGCGCUCCGCACCAGCGUCUUUU